rnacentral:rRNA from 1 species
CCUGAUAUUGAAUGUUGGUACAGCUUGUACAGGAUAGGUAGGAGCCUUGGAAACCGGAGCGCUAGCUUCGGUGGAGGCAUCGGUGGGAUACUACCCUGGCUGUAUUGACCUUCUAACCCGCUGCCCUUAUCGGGCAGGGAGACAGUGUCAGGUGGGCAGUUUGACUGGGGCGGUCGCCUCCUAAAAUGUAACGGAGGCGCCCAAAGGUUCCCUCAGAAUGGUUGGAAAUCAUUCGCAGAGUGUAAAGGCACAAGGGAGCUUGACUGCGAGACC